rnacentral:rRNA from 1 species
UACAGAGGGGGCGAGCGUUGUUCGGAAUUACUGGGCGUAAAGGGCGCGUAGGCGGCCAACUAAGUCAGACGUGAAAUCCCCAGGCUCAACCUGGGAACUGCGUCUGAUACUGGAUGGCUUGAAUCCGGGAGAGGGAUGUGGAAUUCCAGGUGUAGCGGUGAAAUGCGUAGAUAUCUGGAGGAACACCGGUGGCGAAGGCGGCAUCCUGGACCGGUAUUGACGCCGAGGCGCGAAAGCCAGGGGAGCAAACGGG